rnacentral:rRNA from 1 species
GACGAACGCUGGCGGCGUGCCUAAUACAUGCAAGUAGAACGCACAGUUUAUACCGUAGCUUGCUACACCAUAGACUGUGAGUUGCGAACGGGUGAGUAACGCGUAGGUAACCUGCCUGGUAGCGGGGGAUAACUAUUGGAAACGAUAGCUAAUACCGCAUAAUAUUAAUUAUUGCAUGAUAAUUAAUUGAAAGGUGCAAUUGCACCACUACCAGAUGGACCUGCGUUGUAUUAGCUAGUAGGUGAGGUAACGGCUCACCUAGGCGACGAUACAUAGCCGACCGGGGAGGGUGAUCGGCCACACUGGGACUGAGACACGGCCCAGACGCCUACGGGAGGCAGCAGUAGGGAAUCUUCGGCAAUGGACGAAAGUCUGACCGAGCAACGCCGCGUGAGUGAAGAAGGUUUUCGGAUCGUAAAGCUCUGUUGUAAGAGAAGAACGGGGGUGAGAGUGGAAAGUUCACACUGUGACGGUAGCUUACCAGAAAGGGACGGCUAACUACGUG